GGGGCCGUAGCUCAGUUGGGAGAGCGCGUCGUUCGCAACGACGAGGUCGUCGGUUCGAUCCCGAUCGGCUCCACCA
rnacentral:tRNA from 1 species